rnacentral:lncRNA from 1 species
UAAAAUAGAAUAGCAAAUCAAGAGCUUUCUCAUCACAUUUUUUUCCAUAUCUGAGCUAAUUAGCUAGUAGCAUUAAGAAGAUGAGAAUCAAGUUGAUGGGGUCUACGCAAGAACCUGCAGAUGGGCAGAUGGACAUCAAAGCACCAAGGGAAUCAAAGCUGCCAAGUGAUCUCUUCAUGACUGAUGAUGAUUGUGGUGGCGGUAAUGAAACAAAAAGAAAACAACUUUCUCUAAAGGAAACAGAUCUAUCUUUGUUUGAUCAAAGGAGUCAGUCCUCUUCUUGUUCUUCUCAAGUCUUCGUAGUUUCAAGAUCUCUCUCUCUCUCUUUUGGGUUUGGGGGGGGGGGGGGCUCAAGAGGAGAGGAGAGGGUUAGUACAACGGUACCCCUCCUGCCCUCUAAUGUC